rnacentral:lncRNA from 10 species
CAGGUCUUGGGCUAACGUAGGCACUCUCGCAGUUCCUCCGCCUUCAGGAAGGUCUUUUUAGCAGAGGCCUUACGGGUGCGCGCUUCGGUCCUGGAGGCCUUAUCCUAACCUCCUCUCCAUCAGCGCCACCCGUCUGGGGCCCGAAACGAGGGAGCUUUCCCUCUGUCCCCCAGCCUUUGGACUGUCACCAAACAAGCCAUUCGUUCAUCAAAAAUACUUAUUAAGCGCCUACCAUGUGCCUGACAAGGGAGAUGUAACGGUGAGAAAAAAUAGGGUCUCUCUCUCUGCCACCCAGGCCAGAGUGCAGUUGACGCAGGGCAGGGGAGCCCCGAAGUGGAGCAUAGCGUGUCCGGAACUGGUGGGUUCUUGGUCUCACUGACUUCAAGAAUGAAGCCGCGGACCCUCGCGAAAUGAGGCUUCUCCCUGGGACCAGCAUUCCACGAAGGCAGCCCUUUUCUAGAUGGAGAAAACAGAACCUGAAGACACCCGUUUCCCUAAACUGCUCUUGCUCAUGUGCUUCCGAGGCGAUCGAUCAGGCAGUGUCGGUCUGCAGCUGCUAAGCCAAGAAGAUCUGGGAAGGAGUCAGUCAGGGAGCCUUGGGCUGGAGUCCCAGGGGCUCUGGGAGUGGCUGCCAGUUCUACAAGGCCUGGAGCUGAUACGAAAAACCUCCCUUCUUUCCCAAAUGCUCCCCAGCUUCCCCGUUCACUGAAGGCCCUGCAGUCAGGAACAGUCAGGACUUUGCACCCAGUUGUUGUGGGUGUUUGGCCGACUCUUCCUCUUGUGUGAUUCAUGGACCCUCAGCAUUGCAUCACCUAGGAGCUUUUGGAAUUGAAGACUCUCAGGGCUCACCCGGAAGGACCUCCUGGGCCAGAAUCUGCAUUUUAACAAGAUGCUCAGGAUCUGUAACCCAGGCUGGAGUGCAGUGGUGCGAUCCCGGCUCACUGCAGCCUCUACCUCCUGGGUUCAAGCG